UGAAAGUUCUUGAUAUUUUGGUGUCUUU
rnacentral:piRNA from 1 species